CCAGGCUGGUCUUCAGCUCCUGAUCUCAGGUGAUCCACCCGCUUCAGCCUCCCAAAUUGCUGGGAUUACAGGCUUGUUUGGACUGAGUUCCAGAUCUGGGCUGUCAUGGAACAUAACAGGGACCCUUCAUGGGGACAGCAAGAAGGUUCACCGACCCAAUUCAGAGGAAGGAAGAGCCUGGCCUUCAAAAUUACUAUGACCAUCAGAAUGCCCUAGGAGAUCAAAGAAAUAACGGAGUGGGUGUGAGACCUUUUACAAAUGUGUGCACUCAAGCAGUGCAAAGGCAAACCUCCUGGUUCAAGCAGUUCUCCUGCCUCAGCUCUUGGACAAAACUUCAGCACUCCUGCUAGGGUGUGUCUGCCCUACUAAGACACUGUGCGCAGGUGGAGUUGAGGCUCUUAUGUAUGGAUCCUGUCCACUGUUGAGAUUGUGAAUUGCAUGUGUAGACUCAACUCACAGGAGGUGUUGACUCACAAACCUCCAGCUGGGACAUGUGCAGGAUUAGAAAUUUUAUUUCUGGAUCUUUCUUCAGAAGGCGUUGUAACAUCUCACUAAGCCCAGCACUCAGGCGAUGUGGCUUUCCUGCUAUGGCACUGCACACAAGAAGAAUGUUGACAUAUUCCUGGCCCAGAAUUCAGGUGGUUUGGUGACUCUCAAACCAUGAUUCAGCAGACCUGUGAGGCUGUGAGUUCCCUAUCAGAACACAAUCUGCAGGUUGUAUUGUGCCAUAUACCUGGGACCAAAUUACAAGCACAAUGAUGAAUCUUUUACCUGGAGUCAAGACAUGGGCAGGAUGAUGGAACUUAUCACUGGACCUUUCCACAGUGUUAUUGUGACAUAUGCCUUUGCCCAACAUGUGGUGAUUUGACUCCCCAGACUGGGUCCAGUUCACAAAUAAAAUUGUGCCGUAUACUUGGCCAAGAACCUAA
rnacentral:lncRNA from 1 species